GUCGAACGAUCCUUCGGGAUAGUGGCGGACGGGUGAGUAACGCGUGGGAAUCUGCCCUCAGGAGGGGGAUAACGGCUGGAAACGGCCGCUAAUACCCCAUAUGCCGAGAGGUGAAAUGAAUUUCGCCUGAGGAUGAGCCCGCGUCUGAUUAGCUAGUUGGUGGGGUAACGGCCCACCAAGGCGACGAUCAGUAGCUGGUCUGAGAGGAUGAUCAGCCACACUGGGACUGAGACACGGCCCAGACUCCUACGGGAGGCAGCAGUGGGGAAUUUUCCGCAAUGGGCGAAAGCCUGACGGAGCAACGCCGCGUGAGGGAUGAAGGCCUCUGGGCUGUAAACCUCUUUUCUCAAGGAAGAAGACCUGACGGUACUUGAGGAAUAAGCCACGGCUAAUUCCGUGCCAGCAGCCGCGGUAAUACGGGAGUGGCAAGCGUUAUCCGGAAUUAUUGGGCGUAAAGCGUCCGCAGGCGGCUUUGUAAGUCUGUUGUUAAAGCGUGGAGCUUAACUCCAUUUAAGCAAUGGAAACUACAAGGCUGGAGUGUGGUAGGGGCAGAGGGAAUUCCCGGUGUAGCGGUGAAAUGCGUAGAUAUCGGGAAGAACACCAGUGGCGAAGGCGCUCUGCUGGGCCAUAACUGACGCUCAUGGACGAAAGCCAGGGGAGCGAAAGGGAUUAGAUACCCCUGUAGUCCUGGCCGUAAACGAUGAACACUAGGUGUCGGGGGAAUCGACCCCCUCGGUGUCGUAGCCAACGCGUUAAGUGUUCCGCCUGGGGAGUACGCACGCAAGUGUGAAACUCAAAGGAAUUGACGGGGGCCCGCACAAGCGGUGGAGUAUGUGGUUUAAUUCGAUGCAACGCGAAGAACCUUACCAGGGUUUGACAUCCUGCGAACCCCUGAGAAAUCGGGGGGUGCCUUCGGGAGCGCAGAGACAGGUGGUGCAUGGCUGUCGUCAGCUCGUGUCGUGAGAUGUUGGGUUAAGUCCCGCAACGAGCGCAACCCACGUCUUUAGUUGCCAGCAUUCAGUUGGGCACUCUAGAGAGACCGCCGGUGAUAAACCGGAGGAAGGUGUGGAUGACGUCAAGUCAUCAUGCCCCUUACAUCCUGGGCUACACACGUACUACAAUGCUACGGACAAAGGGCAGCAAGCUCGCGAGAGUUAGCAAAUCCCAUAAACCGUGGCUCAGUUCAGAUCGUAGGCUGCAACUCGCCUACGUGAAGGA
rnacentral:rRNA from 1 species